rnacentral:rRNA from 1 species
UAUCAAAAACAUGUCUUUAUGAAUUUCAUGUAAAGUCUAGCCUGCCCAGUGACAUUAAAGUUUAACGGCCGCGGUAGCAUGACCGUGUUAAGGUAGCAUAAUCAUUUGUCCUUUAAUUGAGGAUUGGUAUGAACGGCUGAACAAGAAAUCAACUGUCUCUGCUAUAAAUUUUGAAAUUGACAUUUAAGUGAAAAGGCUUAAAUGAGAUAGGGGGACGAUAAGACCCUAUAAAUCUUGAUGAUUAAGAUAAUAAAUUUUAGGCAGUAGUAAUAAGUUUAAAUUUAAUGUGUUAAUUAUUUUGUUGGGGCGACAGGAGUAUAAGAAGCAACUGCUUUGAAAAAAUAAUUAAUUAUUUUUAUGAUGUUUUGUUUGUGAUCC